rnacentral:rRNA from 1 species
GAUCCUGGCUCAGGAUGAACGCUGGCGGCGUGCCUAAUACAUGCAAGUCGAGCGAGAAUUCUGGAACUGAGAUUAUCGCAGGGAAGAGAAGGAAAGCGGCGGACGGGUGAGUAACGCGUAGGCAACCUGCCCUUAGCAGAGGGAUAGCCAUUGGAAACGAUGAUUAAAACCUCAUAAUGCUUGAGGAGCACAUGCUCUUUGAGCCAAAGAUUUAUCGGCUAAGGAUGGGCCUGCGUCUGAUUAACUGGUUGGUGAGGUAACGGCUCACCCAAGGUGACGAUCAGUAGCCGACCUGAGAGGGUGAUCGGCCACAUUGGAACUGAGACACGGUCCAAACUUCUACGGAAGGCAGCAGUAAGGAAUCUUGCACAAUGGGGGAAACCCUGAUGCAGCAACGCCGCGUGAACGAUGAAGGCCUUCGGGUUGUAAAGUUCUGAUCUUGGGGAAGAAGAAAGUGACGGUACCCAAGGAGAAAGCCCCGGCUAACUACGUGCCAGCCGCAGC